rnacentral:rRNA from 1 species
UACGAAGGGGGCUAGCGUUGCUCGGAAUCACUGGGCGUAAAGGGUGCGUAGGCGGGUCUUUAAGUCAGGGGUGAAAUCCUGGAGCUCAACUCCAGAACUGCCUUUGAUACUGGAGAGCUUGAGUCCGGGAGAGGUGAGUGGAACUCCGAGUGUAGAGGUGAAAUUCGUAGAUAUCAGGAAGAACACCCGUGGCGAAGGCGGCUCUCUGGGACGGUACUGACGCUGAGACGCGAAAGCGUGGGGAGCGAACAGG